UACAGAGGGUGCGAGCGUUAAUCGGAAUUACUGGGCGUAAAGCGUGCGUAGACGGUUAUUUAAGUCGGAUGUGAAAGCCCCGGGCUCAACCUGGGAAUUGCAUUCGAGACUGAAUAGCUAGGGUGCGGUAGAGGGAAGCGGAAUUUCCGGUGUAGCGGUGAAAUGCGUAGAUAUCGGAAGAACACCAGUGGCGAAGGCGACACACUGGCCCAUUACUGACGCUGAGGCUCGAAAGCGUGGGGGGCAAACAGG
rnacentral:rRNA from 1 species